UCCUAACCGUGCAAAGGUAGCAUAAUCACUUGUUCUUUAAAUAAGGACCUGUAUCAACGGCACCACGAAGGUUGCACUGUCUCCUCCCUCUAAUCAGUGAAACUGAUCUCCCCGUGAAGAAGCGGGGAUACACCUAUAAGACGAGAAGACCCCAUGGAGCUUAAGACCCACAGCAACUCGAUUACAUUUUUCCUCUUAACCUACAGAGCCAUGCAUUUCGGUCUUAGGUUGGGGCGACCGCGGAGUAAAAACUAACCUCCACGAUGAAAAGAACUAAUUCUUUAUCCUAGAGCCACCCCUCCAAGAACUAGUACACUAACGUAAGUGACCCAACUAUUGAUCAACGAACCAAGUUACCCUGGGGAUAACAGCGCAAUCUACUUCAAGAGCCCCUAUCGACAAGUAGGCUUACGACCUCGAUGUUGGAUCAGGGUAUCCCAGUGG
rnacentral:rRNA from 1 species